GGGCCGGUAGCUCAGCUGGUAGAGCACUGCCCUUUUAAGGCAGGUGUCCCGAGUUCGAAUCUCGGCCGGCUCACCA
rnacentral:tRNA from 1 species